GGUGUAGCGGUGAAAUGCGUAGAGAUCUGAAGGAAUACCAGUGGCGAAGGCGGCCCCCUGGACAAAGACUGACGCUCAGAUGCGAAAGCGUGGGUAGCAAACAGGAUUAGAUACCCUGGUAGUCCACGCCGUAAACGCUGUCUACUUGGAGGUUGAGGUUUAGACUUUGGCUUUCGGCGCUAACGCAUUAAGUAGACCGCCUGGGGAGUACGGCCGCAAGGUUAAAACUCAAAUGAAUUGACGGGGGCCCGCACAAGCGGUGGAGCAUGUGGUUUAAUUCGAUGCAACGCGAAGAACCUUACCUACUCUUGACAUCCAGCGAAUCCUUUAGAGAUAGAGGAGUGCCYUCGGGAGCGCUGAGACAGGUGCUGCAUGGCUGUCGUCAGCUCGUGUUGUGAAAUGUUGGGUUAAGUCCCGCAACGAGCGCAACCCUUAUCCUUGUUUGCCAGCACRUAAUGGUGGGAACUCCAGGGAGACUGCCGGUGAUAAACCGGAGGAAGGUGGGGACGACGUCAAGUCAUCAUGGCCCUUACGAGUAGGGCUACNUCGGGAGCGCUGAGACAGGUGCUGCAUGGCUGUCGUCAGCUCGUGUUGUGAAAUGUUGGGUUAAGUCCCGCAACGAGCGCAACCCUUAUCCUUGUUUGCCAGCACRUAAUGGUGGGAACUCCAGGGAGACUGCCGGUGAUAAACCGGAGGAAGGUGGGGACGACGUCAAGUCAUCAUGGCCCUUACGAGUAGGGCUACACACGUGCUACAAUGGCAGAUACAGAGGGCAGCGAAGCUGCGAAGUGGAGCGAAUCCCUUAAAGUYUGUCGUAGUCCGGAUUGGAGUCUGCAACUCGACUCCAUGAAGUCGGAAUCGCUAGUAAUCGUGGAUCAGAAUGCCACGGUGAAUACGUUCCCGGGCCUUGUACACACCGCCCGUCACACCAUGGGAGUGGGCUGCACCAGAAGUAGAUAGCUUAACCUUCGGGAGGGCGUUUACCACGGUGUGGUUCAUGACUGGGGUGAAGUCGUAACAAGGUAGCCCUAGGGGAACCUGGGGCUGGAUCACCUCCUUACUGACGCUAUUCGCCUUGUACACACCGCCCGUCACACCAUGGGAGUGGGCUGCACCAGAAGUAGAUAGCUUAACCUUCGGGAGGGCGUUUACCACGGUGUGGUUCAUGACUGGGGUGAAGUCGUAACAAGGUAGCCCUAGGGGAACCUGGGGCUGGAUCACCUCCUUA
rnacentral:rRNA from 1 species